rnacentral:rRNA from 1 species
UACGUAGGGUGCAAGCGUUAAUCGGAAUUACUGGGCGUAAAGGGCGCGUAGGCGGCCUUCUAAGUCGAACGUGAAAUCCCCGGGCUCAACCCGGGAACUGCGUCCGAUACUGGAAGGCUUGAAUCCGGGAGAGGGAUGCGGAAUUCCAGGUGUAGCGGUGAAAUGCGUAGAUAUCUGGAGGAACACCGGUGGCGAAGGCGGCAUCCUGGACCAGCAUUGACGCUGAGGCGCGAAAGCCAGGGGAGCAAACGGG